AUUGAACGCUGGCGGCAUGCCUUACACAUGCAAGUCGAACGGCAGCACGGGAGCAAUCCUGGUGGCGAGUGGCGAACGGGUGAGUAAUAUAUCGGAACGUGCCCAGUCGUGGGGGAUAACGUAGCGAAAGCUACGCUAAUACCGCAUACGAUCUAUGGAUGAAAGCGGGGGAUCGCAAGACCUCGCGCGAUUGGAGCGGCCGAUAUCAGAUUAGGUAGUUGGUGAGGUAAAGGCCUACCAAGGCAUCGAUCAGUAGCUGGUCUGAGAGGACGACCAGCCACACUGGAACUGAGACACGGUCCAGACUCCUACGGGAGGCAGCAGUGGGGAAUUUUGGACAAUGGGGGCAACCCUGAUCCAGCAAUGCCGCGUGAGUGAAGAAGGCCUUCGGGUUGUAAAGCUCUUUUGUCAGGGAAGAAACGGUGAGGGCUAAUAUCCUUUGCUAAUGACGGUACCUGAAGAAUAAGCACCGGCUAACUACGUG
rnacentral:rRNA from 1 species